UACGUAGGGUGCGAGCGUUGUCCGGAAUUAUUGGGCGUAAAGGGCUCGUAGGCGGUUUGUCGCGUCGGGAGUGAAAACCUCGGGCUUAACUCGGGGCUUGCUUUCGAUACGGGCAGACUAGAGGUAUGCAGGGGAGAACGGAAUUCCUGGUGUAGCGGUGAAAUGCGAAGAUAUCAGGAGGAACACCGGUGGCGAAGGCGGUUCUCUGGAACGGUACUGACGCUGAGACGCGAAAGCGUGGGGAGCGAACAGG
rnacentral:rRNA from 1 species